UCCCACGUCAAAAUUUAUUAUUUCUUAAGAGCUGCGACCCCGAAUAGCAGGUGACUAAACUAAAACAUUUAAUCGAAACCGAACACCACGUCAUUCAGGAUCAAAUUAUCAAGAUACAACUUAUACGAAUGGUCUGAUAAGGGAAGAUGUACUAAUAAAAUGAAAUAAAGCCAAAGUGUAAGCGACCAAAGUCCGAUGCAGUUUACAUAAUGAUAGGCUUCAGAAAAGUCAGUACACAACAUCCUAACCUACAAACUAAUAUGUCGGCCCUUAAGGAGUUAGUUUGCACCGAUCAGUACAGAGAUUAAAUUAAGUUAACACCAUUUAUAAAAAUUAAAAUUAGAAUUUAUCAGAAAGUAACAUUGUUCAUUAAUCAUAUGAAUCGCACACUCACACGUAUACAUACACACAGUCACAAAUAAGACAAGGGCAGUCUACAGUGACGUAACUUGAUUAAACAACAUUAAGAUGCUGUCAGAUAAUAAUGUGAGUAAUAACAGUCCAUUAGGGAUAAUAAUAUAACUUCAAAUCCACAGGUCAACCCGGAAUGUCGUUUAAAUAUUUACUUGAUGAAGAUAUGGCAAAGAAGCUAUCACUGUGACUAUUAUAGCGAUGAAAUACACAGAGGUGAAACUGAAAACAGGAUUAACAUAAACUAUCAGGAUGGGAAUAGCCAAAAUCAAAGAGAGGAAACAUAGCACACCUGAUCACGCUCAAACUAUCAUCAGACCCUCAACCGCUCGGGGAGACCAAUGCAACCACAAAACCGACCUCAGCAAUUACCCCAAGAAUGCUACCAAGGACGAAGCGAAUAAGCAAGCAAAUAGCAUGCAUUAACCCCGUUAGCAAAAGAAGAAGAGGAAGAAGUAAAGACGGAAAGAGCCAGCCACCGUAUUGUCUAGAAAAACACUCAUUCGCUGUACCAGAUCCAGUAACCAAUCAUUCAUAGAAGAUAAGACAACAUCCCUUUAUCACAUGAUCGACUAGGAAUUGGAAAUUUAAGUUCGGUACUAAGAACCGAAAACACAUCGGCAAAGAAAAGUCAAUCAAUCAAGGGAAAGAAAUCAGCAUGAUGAGCAGCAACAGCAAAGUGUCGUCACUCAGUCAUGAUCGCAAAAGGUAUCUUAAAAUAGAAAUAACCAGAGGAUCAACGGGCUACAUCAGAAUACAAUUAAGCAUACAAUCAAAUAUGCAAUCAAGUGCGACAAGAAAAAACCACCCAGGUGGCUCCCAUGAUCAGCCCAAUUCCAAGAGGCAGAACUACUUAGGUCAAUGUAAUAAUUCAAAUACUUAGGGCGAACAUAACAAAAUCAAAUCAAAAUCAAUUAUCAAUUACGAGGAAAGAAUAUUUGUCAUUCAUAUCACCGUCAUUAUCAAUGUCAUUCCAGAUCGACCAUCCACAAAGCCAUCAUCAGCACCCGCAUUACCAAAAAGACCAAGGCCAUAACAGAGAGCAAUCUUCAGCAGUUACCUCAAAAGGCAUAGUCGACAAUAAAUGGACAAGCGAGCGAACGGGCAUGAAUUAAUCCAAUUGAGGGAAGAAGGAAAGAAAGAAAGUCUAUAAGAGACAAAAGAAGUAAAAGAAAAAGGGGGAACGGAAAAACGGGGAAUCUGUAUAUCCCAGGCAGGCAAGGUAUAUAAUUGAAAAGAAAUUGCAUCAAAUCAGUUGCAUAGAGAAAGAGAGCUACCAGUCCCCAUCACACAGUCAAUCAACAAUCUAGGGACAAACAGCAAAGGCACACCAACAAGAAGAAUAAUGUUGAAAAGCGUACCACCGUGAAUCAUGACAAAGUGUACAUAUAAA